UUUAAGAAUCAAGCCAAUGGAUUAGAAAUGGUGGAGUACAGACUGUAUAGCCUCUCUGAAACCUGUAAUAGAGGCACCUGGAAAACAAAACCUUAGAGAAGAAAACAAGAAGUAGAGCUCUGGAAAUAAAAAAAGCUGAAUUACAGAAAAACUGAAGACAACACAGAGAAAAAACAAGGCAGCCUGGAUUGCUAACCCCAGCUCCCAGAGAUGAGGUCCUGUCUCUACAAACAUAAGCUCAGGCAGGUGCAGUGCCACUGAGCUAAAUCCCCCAGCCUGGUUUUCUCCUCAACUCCCCAGAAGAAGGUUGGACACUAUGGAGAUCCUCAAAUAUUAUGCUGAAAAGGUUGAAGAGGCGUAUAAUCAGUAAUCCAAGGACGCAUCACU